rnacentral:lncRNA from 1 species
AGUUGAUCUCCCACCAACAAUAUGGCUGAAUUGGGGCUCUGUCUUAGUUUCUUUCCUGUUACUUUGGUCACACACCCUGACCUCAGUCAACUUAUAGAAGGAAGAGUUUAUUAGGUUCCAGAAGGUGAGAGGCAAUGACUGUCAUGGUGGGAAACAUGGCAGCAGGCAAGCGGGCAUGGCGCUGGAGCAGGAGCAUCUUGAUCUACAAGCAUGAAGCAAAGAAAAAGCUAACUGGGAAUGCUAUGGACUUUUGAAACUUCAGGGCCUAGCCCCGGUGACACAUUUCCUCCAACAAGGUCACAUCACACUUCCUAAUCUGUCCCAAGCAGUUUUCCCAACUGGGGAUCACCGAUUGAAAUACAUAAAUCUACUGAAGCCAGUCUCACACUCAAAAUGCCAGAGGCUCUUUUCAUCUUCACUCUUCUCUGCUUCUCUCCUCUCCUGUCUGCCUUCAGAGCUUUGACCCACAUCUAAGUUAUACUAUCUCCUGGUGUUUUAAACUUAAUUAUUACAGCUCCCUUCCAAAGACCAAGAGGGUGUCUAAUAGUAUCUUGAAAAGAAAGUAACAAAGCUGCCAUCCCAGCCUCCAGAUCAAGAAGGAAGCAGUUCCACCUCUCCCAAUGGCUUCAGUGGUUAUCCGUGGUACCCUUUCCCUCUCCCCACUCAUCCACAGUGAGGUCUAUGACUCCAACUCCAAACUCAUCCAAUUCUUCCACUCUCUCAAGCCAAACCAUCGCCCUCUUUCUCUUGGACUCCCCAGCCUCCUUGCUCUCCUCUGCUUUCUUCUUAUUGUCCCCUAAGAUGCUUCCUGGGCAGCCAGAGGAAUUAAGUGUGAACCACUGCAUAGAAUAAUGAUGUCUCAAAACUUAAAUCCAAGCCUGCAUAUUGUGUUGAAUUAAAGUCACCACCAAGUCAACAAGGCAAGGAAAACAGAGCCUACAGACUGGAAAGGAAAUUCCAAGAUAGUACAUACCUCUAAUACCAGUACACAGGAGGUGGACACAAGAAGAUUGUGAGUUUAAGGCCAGCCUGGGCUACAAGGCCCUACUGCACAAAAGAGAAAAGGAAUGAAGAGGAAGGAAAGAUUGGAAAAGAAGAAAUAAAGCUGUCGUUAGUCACAG